UGGGGUAUCGCCAAGUUGGUAAGGCAAUAGAUUUUGAUUCUAUCAUUCGCAGGUUCGAGUCCUGCUACCCCAU
rnacentral:tRNA from 1 species